AAUGGAGUGCCUGAUAAAAGGGUUAUUUUGAUAGAAUAAAUUAUGUGAGCGGACCACCUCCAUUU
rnacentral:tRNA from 2 species